rnacentral:rRNA from 1 species
AGGACGAACGCUGGCGGCGUGCUUAACACAUGCAAGUCGAGCGGUAAGGCCUUUCGGGGUACACGAGCGGCGAACGGGUGAGUAACACGUGGGUGAUCUGCCCUGCACUCUGGGAUAAGCCUGGGAAACUGGGUCUAAUACCGGAUAUGACCUGCUCUCGCAUGGGGGUGGUGGAAAGAUUUA